rnacentral:rRNA from 1 species
AUGGUUGAAAAGACCACUAGUUUCAAGAAAAGGGCAAAGGGAAGAAGGGGAACUUCAAGAAGAAACGGCAAGCAAGUUGCUGCUCAAGUGAAGAAGCCCAAGUCUGAUCCUAAGCCUGAGACUAAGUGCUUCUACUGCAAAGGGACUAGUCACUGGAAGCGGAACUGCCCCAAGUAUUUGGCGGAUAAGAAGGAUGGCAAAGUGAACAAAAGUAUAUUUGAUAUACAUGUUAUUGAUGUGUGCUUUACUAGUGUUUAUAGCAACCCUUCGGUAUUUGAUAUUGGUUCAGUUGCUAAGAGUAGUAACUCGAAACAGGAGUUGCAGAAUAAACAGAGACUAGUUAAG